CAGCAGCCGCGGUAAUACGGAGGGUGCAAGCGUUAAUCGGAAUUACUGGGCGUAAAGCGCACGCAGGCGGUCUGUCAAGUCAGAUGUGAAAUCCCCGGGCUUAACCUGGGAACUGCAUUUGAAACUGGCAGGCUAGAGUCUUGUAGAGGGGGGUAGAAUUCCAGGUGUAGCGGUGAAAUGCGUAGAGAUCUGGAGGAAUACCGGUGGCGAAGGCGGCCCCCUGGACAAAGACUGACGCUCAGGUGCGAAAGCGUGGGGAGCAAACAGGAUUAGAUACCCGGGUAGUCCCUGUCUCUUAUAC
rnacentral:rRNA from 1 species